AUAAAUAUUCACACCUCACAGAAGGCAGUGGACAAGUUGAGGCUUGAGAUAGCUACUUCCCUCCUCAGAGAAUCAGAUGAUCUAAGCGGCUUGUGCUUUUAUUGUGGGAUGGAGGACAAGGGUAAAACACAAUGGGUUUGCUGUGACGGAUGUGAAAGGUGGUACCACCAUGAUUGUGUACAGAGCCCUCCAGUGGAUGUGGAUUACUUGUGUCCUGCAUGCCAGUAAAAGUGUCCCUUGCUGCAAUAUUUG